UGAGGAAUAUUGCGCAAUGGGCGAAAGCCUGACGCAGCGACGCCGCGUGAAGGAUGAAGGUCUUCGGAUUGUAAACUUCUGUUAAGUGGGAAGAAAGACUCGUCUCUAAUACAGACGAGGGAUGACUGUACCAUUAAAGAAAGCACCGGCUAACUUCGUGCCAGCAGCCGCGGUAAUACGAAGGGUGCUAGCGUUAUUCGGAAUAAUUGGGCGUAAAGGGCGCGUAGGUGGCAUGUUAAGUUUGCUGUUAAAUCUUCCAGCCUAACUGGAAAACUGCAGCAAAAACUGGCAAGCUAGAGUGUAAGAGAGAGAAGUGGAAUUCUCGGAGUAGCGGUAAAAUGCGUAGAUCUCGAGAGGAACACCGAUGGCGAAGGCAGCUUCUUGGCUUACUACUGACACUGAGGCGCGAAAGCGUGGGGAGCAAACAGG
rnacentral:rRNA from 1 species